rnacentral:rRNA from 1 species
GACGAACGCUGGCGGCGUGCUUUAGGCAUGCCAGUCGAACGCGAAAGCCCCUUCGGGGGUGAGUAGAGUGGCGAACGGGUGAGUAACACGUGGGUAACCUGCCCCUCGCAGGGGGAUAACCGGGGGAAAUCCCGGCUAAUACCCCGUACGCUUGCUGGGGCGCAUGCUCCGGCAAGGAAAGGUAGCUUCGGCCAUCCGGCGAGGGAGGGGCCCGCGGCCCAUUAGCUAGUUGGUGGGGUAACGGCCCACCAAGGCGACGAUGGGUAGCUGGCCUGAGAGGGUGGUCAGCCACCCUGGGACUGAGACACGGCCCAGACUCCUACGGGAGGCAGCAGCCAGGAAUCUUGCGCAAUGGGCGAAAGCCUGACGCAGCAACGCCGCGUGGGCGAUGAAGGCCUUCGGGUCGGAAAGCCCUGUUGUCGGGGACGAAGGGCGAAGGGUUAAUAGCCCCUAGCCUGACGGUACCCGACGAGGAAGCCCCGGCUAACUACGU